AUUGAACGCUGGCGGCACGCCUAACACAUGCAAGUCGAACGGUAACAGGAAGCAGCUUGCUGCUUUGCUGACGAGUGGCGGACGGGUGAGUAAUGUCUGGGAAACUGCCCGAUGGAGGGGGAUAACUACUGGAAACGGUAGCUAAUACCGCAUAACGUCGCAAGACCAAAGAGGGGGACCUUAGGGCCUCUUGCCAUCGGAUGUGCCCAGAUGGGAUUAGCUAGUAGGUGGGGUAACGGCUCACCUAGGCGACGAUCCCUAGCUGGUCUGAGAGGAUGACCAGCCACACUGGAACUGAGACACGGUCCAGACUCCUACGGGAGGCAGCAGUGGGGAAUAUUGCACAAUGGGCGCAAGCCUGAUGCAGCCAUGCCGCGUGUAUGAAGAAGGCCUUCGGGUUGUAAAGUACUUUCAGCGGGGAGGAAGGGAGUAAAGUUAAUACCUUUGCUCAUUGACGUUACCCGCAGAAGAAGCACCGGCUAACUCCGUG
rnacentral:rRNA from 1 species